rnacentral:tRNA from 5 species
AGUCCUGUGGUGUAGUGGUUAUCACGUUGCUCGUCAGUUUAGCCCUUUUACACCCGUCACAGGCCACCGCUAACCCCGCUUAGUUAUACCUACUGGUCAUGCUAGUAUGAUAUGCAAAGGUCCCGAGUUCAAUCCUCGGUAGGACUA